CGCCGCCGCCGCAGUGCCCGCCUCCGCCGGCUGCCGGCAGCCCAGCCGCUUCCGCCGCCGGCGACCCAGCGAGAAGAGCGAAAGGCACCGUCUGAGGAGGAAGUGCUGUCCCGUCAUUUUCAGACGCCAACAACGAUGGGAAGCUCUCUGCAGAAGAACAGACAGUUAUUUGAUGGUUGAGAAAUACUUGAGCUAAAAUAACAAAAAGGCAUCGCAUUGCAAAUUGUUUUAUUGUGUUGAUAUUUUAUACGUGCUAUAAGGAAUUAAAUAAAUUUUGAGAUA